UUGGCGGACGGGUGAGUAACGCAUGGGUAACCUGCCUCACACUGGGGGAUAACACUUAGAAAUAGGUGCUAAUACCGCAUAAGCGCACGGGACUGCAUGGUCUUGUGUGAAAAACUCCGGUGGUGUGAGAUGGACCCGCGUCUGAUUAGCUGGUUGGCGGGGUAACGGCCCACCAAGGCGACGAUCAGUAGCCGGCCUGAGAGGGUGGACGGCCACAUUGGGACUGAGACACGGCCCAAACUCCUACGGAAGGCAGCAG
rnacentral:rRNA from 1 species